GCCAGUGUGGCAUAGUGGUUUGAGUGUUGGAGCACGACUCUGGAGACCAGGGUUCGAUUUCCUGUUUGGCC